rnacentral:rRNA from 1 species
AUGCCGCCGAGGGAGAAUUCCCCGGCAAGGGAGCGUUCCCCGGCAAGGGAGAAUUCUCCGGCAAGGGAGAAUUCUCCGGCAAGGGGCAGUUCUCCGGCGGGGGACAGCGCCAGUGAUCCUCCGAUGGUGGAGACCACGACUGCAGAUCCCAGCACAGAUCCACCUGCCACAGAGCCAAUGGAAACCGAGGCCGCCAGUGAGGAGAACGCACGCGGCAACAAUGACGACGCCGCCGCCACCGAAGAAGAGGCCGGCGCCGAUGAUCCCGCUGGCGAAGAGGCCUCCAAGGCUGCCACCGCGGAAGCUGGCGAGGAAUCUGGCGAUCGCACUGAUGGCCCCGAGGCCGCAGGAGCGUCAGGCGCUGCACCGACCGCUGAUCCCUCUGCCGUUGCCGCAGCGCCAGGCUCCGAAGAGCCCCAGCCCGGUGCCUACUUGAAGGCCGGCGAUGGCGUCUUCAUCAAGCUCCCCUGGGCGUCGAGCUCCAGGGCGCCGGUCGAAGGAGAAAUCUUCGACGAAGAGGUGCUCGCCUGCGCUGGGCUAGCGCUUGUCGACGCGCCAAGCAGCAGCAGUGACGAGCCUGAGGAGGAGCGGCUGCUGCUCAAGCUGCUGUCUCUUUACCGCGCCCGCCAAGCCAAACUGGCGUCCCGAGAGGCGCUUGUCGCGAAGGCGGGGGUAGAUAUUGAGAAGCGCGCAGAGGAGCUUUGGGGUCUCAGGCAGGAGGCGCUCCGGUCUCUGGCGGAGGAGCGGGAGCAACUUCUCGAGGAGCGGAAAGCCUUCCUCCUCGAGAAGGCUGAAGUUGAAGAGAAGCAACGGCUUGUCGCCGAGAAUCUAUUUGCGCAAGAAGGAGAGUUGGUGCAGCGCAAGGUGAACCUUGACAGCCACGAGGAGGAGCUUGUCGCGCGGGAGCAAGCAAUUGGCGGGGCGCUCAAGGAAGCAAAGGAUGCUGCCGCAGCUGCCGAGGCCGCCAAGAAGGAGCUGGAAACAAAGGUGGGGCAGCUGGAAGCAGAUCUCAGGGCGAGUGGCGAGGAGCUUGCCGCGCUCAAAAGUGAGCGUGAGAAGGAUGCUGCCGCUCAUGGUGAACUGCAGGGCCUUCUCGCUGAGAGGAGCAAGGAGCUCAACGCCGCCAAGGAUUCCAAUGCGGAUCUCGAGUUGAAGUUGGCCACUUUGACUCAGACGCUGGACGGCGCCAGGGAGCGGGAGGUGGCCUUGUCGGAGAAGAUCAAGGUCGACGAGGCGCUGCUGGCGAGUGCUGCUGCCGCCCACAACGCCUUCAGCGAGACAGUGGAGCAUUGGACUAAAGGUCUUGUGGAUGCUGCCGCAGCCAUCGACGGGGAGCUGGCACAGCUGGGGAUGGAGGAUUUUGGGUAUCCCUCCGACGAGCAUCUCCAACCCAGCGCCAAGCUCAGCCUGUUCUUCAAAGGCGUGGUGACGGCCCUCCAGCGACUCCGGGGGAGGAUCCCAAAGCAGCUGGCCUACGAGUUGCGCAGGAUUUGCGCGGGGGCUCUCCAGAAGGUGCUGAUGAAGGUGGCCUUCCGCAAUCCAGGCCUCAACCUCACCAAUGUCCUCAAAUCCUUGCCGCCGGACGCUGAUCUGGAUGCGCUCAAGGCCCUUGUCGCACCCAUUGUGGACAAGGUGAGCGAGAUCAAGAGGGUUGAGGGCGAUUGCAUAGAUUAG